GGCGGACGGGUGAGUAACGCGUAAAGAACUUGCCCUUUAGACUGGGAUAACAGAGGGAAACUUCUGAUAAUACUGGAUAAGUUAGUAUAUCGCAUGAUACGCAAAUGAAAGCUACGGCACUAAAGGAGAGCUUUGCGUCCUAUUAGCUAGUUGGUAAGGUAAGAGCUUACCAAGGCGAUGAUAGGUAGCCGGCCUGAGAGGGUGGACGGCCACAAGGGGACUGAGAUACGGCCCUUACUCCUACGGGAGGCAGCAGGA
rnacentral:rRNA from 1 species